rnacentral:tRNA from 1 species
UCCCUGGUGGUCCAGUGGUUAGGACCUGGAGCUUUCAGUGCUGAGGGUCCAGGUUCAAUCCUUGGUUGGGGAA